AAUCAACGCUGGCGGCGUGCCUAACACAUGCAAGUCGAGCGAGAAAAGGGGGGCAACUCCCUGAGUACAGCGGCGCACGGGUGAGUAACACGUGGGUAAUCUGCCCUGGAGUGGGGAAUAACACCGGGAAACCGGUGCUAAUACCGCAUACGAUCACGAGGUCUGCGGACCUUGUGAUGACGGUAGCAAUUCGCUCUAGGAGGAGCCCGCGGCUGAUUAGCUAGUUGGUGAGGUAAUGGCUCACCAAGGCUACGAUCAGUAUCCGGUCUGAGAGGACGGGCGGACACACUGGAACUGAGACACGGUCCAGACUCCAACGGGAGGCAGCAGUGGGGAAUUUUUGGCAAUGGGGGCAACCCUGACCAAGCAACGCCGCGUGGGUGAUGAAGUCUCUUGGGACGUAAAACCCUUUCGACGGGGACGAAAACCGCAAGGUUUGACGGUACCCGUAGAAGAAGCCCCGGCUAACUCCGUGCCAGCCGCCGCCGUAAUAC
rnacentral:rRNA from 1 species